UACGAAGGGGGCUAGCGUUGCUCGGAAUCACUGGGCGUAAAGCGCACGUAGGCGGCUUUUUAAGUCAGAGGUGAAAUCCUGGAGCUCAACUCCAGAACUGCCUUUGAUACUGGAAAGCUUGAGUUCGGGAGAGGUGAGUGGAACUGCGAGUGUAGAGGUGAAAUUCGUAGAUAUUGGGAAGAACACCGGUGGCGAAGGCAGCUCGCUGGGACGUGACUGACGCUGAGACGCGAAAAGCGUGGGGGAGCAAACAGGG
rnacentral:rRNA from 1 species